GCUUAACGCGUGGGAAUCUGCCCUUGGGUUCGGGABAACAGUUGGAAACGACUGCUAAUACCGGAUGAUGACUUCGGUCCAAAGAUUUAUCGCCCAGGGAUGAGCCCGCGUCGGAUUAGCUAGUUGGUAGGGUAAAGGCUACCAAGGCGACGAUCCGUAGCUGGUCUGAGAGGAUGAUCAGCCACACUGGGACUGAGACACGGCCCAGACUCCUACGGGAGGCAGCAGUGGGGAAUAUUGGACAAUGGGCGAAAGCCUGAUCCAGCAAUGCCGCGUGAGUGAUGAAGGCCUUAGGGUUGUAACCC
rnacentral:rRNA from 1 species